UUGAAUGUUUUCUAGGGUUCCGCAACUGUCAGUGUUGGUCUGGUCCGAGAGAAAACUCACAGCUAUGCUGUGUCACGGAAGGAUAAAAGCCUGGGAGGA
rfam:Sporosarcina psychrophila strain DSM 6497, complete genome.